rnacentral:rRNA from 1 species
AGCGAACGCUGGCGGCGUGCUUAACACAUGCAAGUCGAGCGAAGGUGUUUCAAGGGUAACCUUGAGAUACACUUAGCGGCGGACGGGUGAGUAAUACGUGGAUAACUUACCUCUAGGCCUGGGAUAACCCCGGGAAACUGGGGCUAAUACCUGAUAAGACCACAUUGUCUACGGACAAAGGGGUAAAAGGUGGCUGUGCAAACAGCUAUCGCCAAAAGAUAGGUUCACGUCCCAUCAGGCAGUUGGUGAGGUAAUGGCUCACCAAACCAAAGACGGGUAGCCGGCCUUGGCGGGUGAACGGCCACACGGGGACUGAGACACGGCCCCGACUCCUACGGGAGGCAGCAGUGGGGAAUAUUGGCAAUGGGCGCAAGCCUGACCCAGCGACGUCGCGUU